rnacentral:rRNA from 1 species
GAUGAACGCUAGCGGGAGGCCUAACACAUGCAAGCCGAGCGGUAUUGUUUCUUCGGAAAUGAGAGAGCGGCGUACGGGUGCGUAACACGUGUGCAACCUGCCUUUAUCUGGGGGAUAGCCUUUCGAAAGGAAGAUUAAUACUCCAUAAUAUAUUGAACGGCAUCGUUUAAUAUUGAAAGCUCCGGCGGAUAGAGAUGGGCACGCGCAAGAUUAGCUAGUUGGUGAGGUAACGGCUCACCAAGGUGAUGAUCUUUAGGGGGCCUGAGAGGGUGAUCCCCCACACUGGUACUGAGACACGGACCAGACUCCUACGGGAGGCAGCAGUGAGGAAUAUUGGGCAAUGGGUGCAAGCCUGAACCAGCCAUCCCGCGUGAAGGACGACUGCCCUAUGGGUUGUAAACUUCUUUUGUAUAGGGAUAAACCUACCCUCGAGAGGGUAGCUGAAGGUACUAUACGAAUAAGCACCGGCUAACUCCGUG